GACGUAGGGCGCGAGCGUUGUCCGGAUUUAUUGGGCGUAAAGAGCUCGUAGGCGGCUCGUUGCGUCGGCUGUGAAAACCCGCAGCUCAACUGUGGGCUUGCAGCUGAUACGGGCGGGCUGGGAUUCGGUAGGGGAGACUGGAAUUCCUGGUGUAGCGGUGAAAUGCGCAGAUAUCAGGAGGAACACCAGUGGCGAAGGCGGUGCUCUGGGCCGGAACUGACGCUGAGGAGCGAAAGCGUGGGGAGCAAACAGG
rnacentral:rRNA from 1 species